rnacentral:tRNA from 1 species
GGAGAGGUGGCCGAGCGGUUUAAGGCAACGGUCUUGAAAACCGUCAUACUGAAAGGUAUCGCGAGUUCGAAUCUCGCCCUCUCCGCCA